rnacentral:lncRNA from 1 species
AAUAUAUAUGUACACACAUUAUCCAAAGUCUAUACCACCUAUCAUUUCACGAGGAUUGCUGAGCAGAGCCUACAGUGUUGUAGGCCUGCUUGAGCUGAGCCAACACCAACUAGUUCGAUUUAAGCAAGCCUGAAUACGUAGCUCUUGCUCCAUUGCUCCAUUAUUUGGUAGAAUUCGUGUACCCCUUAACUGCACCACUCUUUUAUCUAACAAACUACUUCUUUUAUCCCAAUUGUUUUAGUAAAUCUCAACAAAAGCUUAUAUCCCUAAUUCUAAUUACUUAAUAUAUGAACUGUUACCUUAAGUGUUGAUGCGUGAUAUUAUCUAAUACUCAAAUAAAUGCUAUUGAGAUUUCUGUUCAGUCACAUUUUUGAGAUAUUGAUAUAGCUGAUAUUUUGUUGUCUAUGCAUCAUGCUAACUGAUGUACUUUGUAUACCAUCCCUAGUUGAAUGUAUUUACAUGCCUCUUUCGAUUUUAUGACAAAAAUCAGGGACACUUGGAUGUUGAAUUGAAUGACAUUGGGAGACUGCAAGCAGUGGCAGCAAGUUGCCUACAAGCAUUCUUACCGAAGUUGUAGCUUGCAGCAUACUAAUAAUAAUUGUCAGUUUUAUUCUUUACAGGUUUUUACUUUUCGAUCCUUACCCAUUUAGACUUACUUACCUAAUGGCAAUAUUGACUUAACAGCCUUCAGUAACAAUCAAAAUCUGAAAGAAACAUGGGCUAGCCAGGUCCAUGAUAUGCUUGAGAGUGCGAAGAAGGAUGAGAAUGCAGAAUUUCGUGUGAAGGAGGUUCAGUACAUCCAGGCAGAAGUAUGUUCUUUUUUUAUACCCUCCUAUAAAAUAAAUAAUUUGUUUGUAUAAGGUUUUUCUUAAAAUGUUUGUAUUAUAUUGAAAUACAAAACUAGAUUAUCAUGUUUAACUUAAUAUUCAUCUUAAGUACCGUAUAAUUGUUUUUAAACUAAUUAUGAUAAGGAAUAUUAAAUGUUUAAAAUAAUUAGUACUUCUAACUUAAAAACUGAGUAGAGAACAAGUACUAUGUCAUGUAGUCUCAGGUUAGUCUUACAAAAGAAAAAGCAAAAGGAAACAAAGAAGAAAAGACGAAAGGAAAAGAAGGAGUAAAUAUUAGGCCUAUAAUUGAUGAUAAAAUUCAUGAAAUAUCUAAGGGUGGGAGAAUAAAUUUGGCAAAUGUGUUGAAAACUUAUGACUCAUAAUAUGGAAGCCGCUGAAAAAGGCUAGUGUGGAGCGUAGCGAAGCGACACACUAGCCUUUUUCAGCGGUUGACCCGAAGGUCGCGGGGGGGUGCGGGGGGCGAAGCCCCCCUUGGUACGGUACAAGUUGUUUAUUAAUGAGGGACAUUAUGGGUAAUUGAGACAUAAUGUGAAGUAGGGUUGGAAUAAGAUUAGUAGUUAUAAAUACUAUCUAUUGUAAAGCCCUAGGCAUCUAAGGAAUCAUCAAUAAACAACCAGCCGCCUGUGGAGUACCCAAAUUAGGGAACCACGUAAAUAUCUUGUGUUUUUUCUUAAUUCUCUAUCGUUUGUGUGCGUGUGUGAUUUAUAUUCUAACAAAAUGCAAAUUGUAAACUUAAAAUUUGUGAUUUUGGCUUGGCGAGAGUUGCAUUCAAUGAUACAUCUACUACUAUAUUUUGGACGGUAUGUGAUCUAGAACCAUGAUACAUGAAUUUUCAACUUUCACUCGUUCACUUUUAUACAUAUGUUUUUAAAUUAUACUGUAUGGACUAUAUGAGUCAUUAUUAACUUUUACACUGAUAUUUUAUAGGAUUAUGUUGCUACAAGAUGGUAUAGAG